CGUAAAGCGCAUGCAGGUGGUUUGUUAAGUCAGAUGUGAAAGCCCGGGGCUCAACCUCGGAAUUGCAUUUGAAACUGGCAAACUAGAGUACUGUAGAGGGGGUAGAAUUUCAGGUGUAGCGGUGAAAUGCGUAGAGAUCUGAAGGAAUACCGGUGGCGAAGGCGGCCCCCUGGACAGAUACUGACACUCAGAUGCGAAAGCGUGGGGAGCAAACAGGAUUAGAUACCCUGGUAG
rnacentral:rRNA from 1 species